GAUGAAUGCUGGCGGCGUGCUUAACACAUGCAAGUCGAGCGGCAGCGCGGUCUUCGGACUGGCGGCGAGCGGCGGACGGCUGAGUAACGCGUGGGAACGUGCCCCAAAGUGAGGAAUAACUGCCCGAAAGGGUGGCUAAUGCCGCAUAUGGUCUUCGGAUUAAAGGAUUUAUCCGCUUUGGGAGCGGCCUGCGUAUGAUUAGGUAGUUGGUGAGGUAAUGGCUCACCAAGCCGACGAUCAUUAGCUGGUCUGAGAGGAUGACCAGCCAGACUGGAACUGAGACACGGUCCAGACUCCUACGGGAGGCAGCAGUGAGGAAUCUUCCACAAUGGGCGAAAGCCUGAUGGAGCAACGCCGCGUGCAGGAUGAAGGCCUUCGGGUAGUAAACUGCUUUUAUAAGUGAAGAAUAUGACGGUAACUUAUGAAUAAGCACCGGCUAACUACGUGCCAGCCGCCGCGGUAACAC
rnacentral:rRNA from 1 species